UACGGGGGGAGCAAGCGUUGUUCGGAUUUACUGGGCGUAAAGGGCGCGUAGGCGGCCAACUAAGUCAGACGUGAAAUCCCUCGGCUUAACCGGGGAACUGCGUCUGAUACUGGAUGGCUUGAGUUUGGGAGAGGGAUGCGGAAUUCCAGGUGUAGCGGUGAAAUGCGUAGAUAUCGAGAAGAACACCGGUGGCGAAGGCGGCCAUCUGGACGGUGACUGACGCUGAGACGCGAAAGCGUGGGGAGCAAACAGG
rnacentral:rRNA from 1 species